ensembl:lncRNA
CCCGGCACUGCCAAAAAUAAAUAAAUAAAUAAAAUUUAUUAAAAAAAAUUGUGAAUCACUAUGUUGGACACCUGAAGCUUAUAUAAUAUUUUACAUCAAGUCAUACCUCAGUAAAACACAAAAGAGUUGUGGGAAUUCCCUGGUGGUCCAGUGGUUAGGACUCAGCGCUUUCACUGCUGUGGCCCACAUUCAAUCCCUGAUUGAACUAAGAUCCCUCAAGCACACGGUGCACCAAAGAGGGGGAAAAUGUUCCAGUUACUCCGCAUCCUCACCCACGUUUGUCAUUCUCUUGUUCUUCUUCCCUGACUCUGAGUCCGGGACGGGUGGACAGCAGAGGAGACAGAGGAUGGAGAAGGGAGAGGAAGGGGCUUGGGAGGCAGUGGUGCUAGACUCCGGCCAUCGGGGCCUGGAACACAAGGCGUCUUGACGCUUGAGCCCGGGGAACGGUGAGGAAGAUGCCAGGGGUCCCACUUCCUGUGACAGGAGUGAGAGGAGAUUCUGUUUAGAUCUCAAGGGCCAGGGCCAUCCCAGCUGGCACACAGCUCACGGCCUGGGCACUUGGUCCCUGCCUGAAUUUACCUCGUGGGCAGACCAUCUCCAGGCCAAGGGAGGAAGGCCUGGAGGGCUGGGAUCAGCGCAAGGGGCCGUAAGGGGCUGCACGCCUGGGUGACUCUGCCUGUGGGCGGGCCCCCCGCCCCUCCCUGAGUAGACACUGCCACCUUCUGGCCUUUGUUGAUCAACUGCCCCACCCCAUCCCAGGAGGAGCUUUGUCUUAAUCAAGAAAGGGAACUGAAAUGAGGUUUCCUUUACGUAAGUGAACCUGUGUGUGUGUGUGUGUGUGUUUAGUCACUGACUAUGACCCCCACGGACUGUAGCCCACCAGGGUUGCACAGAGUCAGAUGUAACUGAAGCGACUUUGCAUGCAUACAUACAAGGGCACUCUGAGGUUGUCUCUAUUCCGCAGGCUCGACCCAGGGUUUCAGAAGCUGUCCAGACUGUGACGUCCGGCAGGGCAGACACACAUCAGCCCUUUUGCUCCCCAAGGGCCCCGUGGGGUGACCGUGAGUGACAGUAACAGGGAAAGAGACAUGGUAGGAGAUGGGAGGAACCACCCCUCUGUUCCUGGGGAGUGUUCCUGGGGGCUGCGCCUCUGACCAUCAGACCUAAAAGGACCAGGUCCUGCUGACACACCCCCAACCCCACUGGCCAUCCUCUUUCUGGAAUUUUCUGCAAACCAUUUUUUUUUAAAUGGUCUUUCAGCCACGUCUGACUGUUU